AUUGAACGCUGGCGGCAGGCCUAACACAUGCAAGUCGAACGAGUGGCGGACGGGUGAGUAAUGUCUGGGAAACUGCCCGAUGGAGGGGGGUAACUACUGGAAACGGUAGCUACUACCGCCUACCAUCGGAUGUGCCCAGAUUGGAUUAGCUAGUAGGUGGGGUAACGGCUCACCUAGGCGACGAUCCCUAGCUGGUCUGAGCGGAUGACCAGCAACACGGGAACGGAGACACGGUACAGAAUCCUACGGGAGGCAGCAGUGGGGAAGAUUGCACAAGGGGCGCAAGCCUGAUGCAGCCAUGCCGCGUGUAUGAAGAAGGCCUUCGGGUUGUAAAGUACUUUCAGCGAGGAGGCGUUACUCGCAGAAGAAGCACCGGCUAACUCCGUGCCAGCCGCCGCGGUAAUUC
rnacentral:rRNA from 1 species